CACAGAAAUAGGUGCUGCCUCUUGUG
rnacentral:piRNA from 1 species